rnacentral:rRNA from 1 species
UACGGAGGAUGCGAGCGUUAUCCGGAUUUAUUGGGUUUAAAGGGUGCGUAGGCGGAGUGUCAAGUCAGCGGUAAAAUUUCGGGGCUCAACCCCGUCGUGCCGUUGAAACUGACACCCUUGAGUGAGUGAGAAGUAAGCGGAAUGCGUGGUGUAGCGGUGAAAUGCAUAGAUAUCACGCAGAACGCCGAUUGCGAAGGCAGCUUACCGGCGCUCAACUGACGCUGAGGCACGAAAGUGCGGGUAUCGAACAG